rnacentral:rRNA from 1 species
GACGAACGCUGGCGGCGUGCCUAAUACAUGCAAGUUGAGCGCUGAAGGUUGGUACUUGUACCAACUGGAUGAGCAGCGAACGGGUGAGUAACGCGUGGGGCAUCUGCCUUUGAGCGGGGGACAACAUUUGGAAACGAAUGCUAAUACCGCAUAAAAACUUUAAACACAAGUUUUAAGUUUGAAAGAUGCAAUUGCAUCACUCAAAGAUGAUCCCGCGUUGUAUUAGCUAGUUGGUGAGGUAAAGGCUCACCAAGGCGAUGAUACAUAGCCGACCUGAGAGGGUGAUCGGCCACAUUGGGACUGAGACACGGCCCAAACUCCUACGGGAGGCAGCAGUAGGGAAUCUUCGGCAAUGGACGAAAGUCUGACCGAGCAACGCCGCGUGAGUGAAGAAGGUUUUCGGAUCGUAAAACUCUGCUGGUAGAGAAGAACGUUGGUGAGAGUGGAAAGCUCAUCAAGUGACGGUAACUACCCAGAAAGGGACGGCUAACUACGUG